CCUGGUUGAUCCUACCAGUAGUCAUAUGCUUGUCUCAAAGAUUAAGCCAUGCAUGUCUAAGUAUGAACUAAUUCAGACUGUGAAACUGCGGAUGGAUCAUUAAAUUAGUUAUAGUUUUUUGAUGGUACCAUACUACUCAGAUAACUGUAGUAAUUCUAGAGAUAAUACGUGCACCAAGUCCCGACUCUUUGGAAGGGAUGCAUUUUUUAGAUAAAAGGUCGAUGCAGGCUUGCCCGCUUCUCCGGUGAAUCAUGAUAACUCGACGGAUCACCUAGCCCUUGUGCUGGCGAUGCUUCAUUCAAAUUUCUACCCUAUCAACUUUCAAUGGUAGGAUAGAGGCCUACCAUGGUGGUGAAGGGUGAUAGAGAAUUAGGGUUCGAUUCUGGAGAGGGAGCCUAAGAAACGGUUACCAUAUCCAAGGAAGGCAGUAGGCGUGCAAAUUACCCAAUCCUGACAUGGAAUGAGUACAAUCUAAAUCCCUUAACGAGGAUCCAUUAGAGAGCAAGUCUGGUGCCAUCAGCCAUGGUAAUUCUAGCUCCAAUAGCAUGUAUUUAAGUUGUUGCAGUUAAAAAACUCGUAGUUGGAUCUUGGGUCGUAAAGGUCAGUCUGCCUACUCGGUGUGAACCUGCCCUUCCGUCCCUUUUGUCAGCGACAUGCUCUUGGCCUUAAUUGGCUGGGUCGUGGCUCCGGUGUUGCUACUUUGAAAAAAUUAGAGUGCUCAAAGCAAGCUUAUGCUAUGAAUACAUUAGCAUGGAAUAACGUGAUAGGAGUCUGGUUGUAUUGGGUUGGCCUUCGGGACCGGAGUAAUGAUUAAUAGGGAUUGUCGGGGGCAUUCAUAUUUCAUUGUCAGAGGUGAAAUUCUUGGAUUUAUGAAAGACAGACCACUGCGAAAGAAUUUGCCAAGGAUGUUUUCAUUAAUCAAGAACGAAAGUUGGGGGCUCGAAGACAAUCAGAUACCAUCCUAGUCUCAACCAUAAAUGAUGCCGACCAGGGAUUGGCGGAUUUUGCUCUAAGGACUCCGCCAACAGCUUCUGAGAAAUCAGAGUGUUUGGGUUCCGAGGGGAGUAUGGUCGUAAGGAUGAAACUUAAAGGAAUUGAUGGAAGGGCACCACCAGGAGUGGAGCCUAUGGCUUAAUUUUACUCAACACGGGGAAACUUACCAGGUCCAGACAUAGUAAGGAUUGACAGAUUGAGAGCUCUUUCUUGAUUCUAUAGGUGGUGGUGCAUGGCCAUUCUUAGUUGGUGGAGUGAUUUGUCUGGUUAAUUCUGAUAACGAACGAGACCUCAGCCUGCUAACUAGCUAUGCGGAGGUUCCCCUUCGCAGCCAGCUUCUUAGAGGGACUAUGGCCGUUUAGGCCAUGGAAUUUUGAGGCAAUAACAGGUCGUGUGAUGCCCUUAGAUGUUCUGGGAUGCACACACGCUACAUUGAUGUAGCCAACGAGUUUUUCUUCCUAGUUCGAGAGGAUCACGAAAUCUUCUCAAAUUGCAUCGUGAUGGGGAUAGACCAUUGCAAUGAUUGGUCUUCAACGAGGAAUUCCUAGUAAGCACGUGUCAUCAACUCGUGUUGACUACAUCCUUGCCCUUUGUACACACCGCCCGUCACUCCUACCGAUUGAAUGAUCUGGUGAAGUGUUCGGAUUGUGUCGACGAUGGUGGUUCGCCACCGUCGACGUUGUGAGAAGUUCAUUGAAACUUAUCAUUUAGAGGAAGGAGAAGUCGUAACAAGGUUACCUUAGGUGAACCUGCGGUAG
rnacentral:rRNA from 1 species